GCAUUCGAACGAAUAAUAUUUCGUUGCACUUAGUCAUUGACGUGUCAUAAUGGCGAUCUUUCUUUAAUUAAUAUUAAUUUGUAACAAGAGUCGGUUGUAAUUAAUUAAAUCUUCUUUUCUGUCCUUCCUAUCUUUCGUUUUUUUUUUCUAUUUCUCAUUUCUCAACUUCAGUCUUACAAUGGUCGAGUUAAGAGACAGGGCUUUGACAUUAAUCUUGUGUUUUUUUUUCUUUUUUCUUUUUUGUUUAUUUCUUUCUUCUUAUUUUUUUUCUUCCUUUUUUUUCUCUCCUUCUUUCUGUUUUUCUAUUCAUUGACUUUUAUACUCGCAGCGCGAACUUUACGUUCCUCGGAUUUUAAUAGUUACCGUUUUCAUCUUUCAUUUCGUUUGUGUGGACUCUUUGAAGAGAAAGAGAGAGAGAGAGAGAGAGAAAAAGAGAGAGAGAGAUAGAG